rnacentral:lncRNA from 1 species
GGUAGGGGAGAUAGGUAGGUGGUAGGUAGGUAGGUAGUAGGUAGGUAGGUAGUAGGUAAGAAGGUAGUAGGUAGGUAGGUAGAUCGUAGUAGGUGGUAGGUAAGUAGGUGGUAGGUAGGUAGAUGGUAGUAGGUGGUAGGUAGGCAGGCAGGCAGAUGAUAGCUGAAACGGUACAGAGCUGGGUGUGUUGAAUGUGUAGGUGGUAGAACAGUGUUAAAGUGUGUGAGGCCUUGAAUCUGAGUCAGCAGCAGCACUGAUUACAAAUGCUAGAGAAAGCAGGUGAAGGCAAGGAAAAAAAGGCUCACUGCAUUAGUCUUUAAUUGUCGAGGAAAAAAAACAGACGUGUGACUGCAGAAGGCAGAGGCAUGGGAGACAAGCUUGCUUGACAAGCCAUAUUUGUUUCCAAAGUUUUAAAACCAGCCUCAACUGGGUUGGGAGCUACUCACUGUUCCCGUUUCCCCAUGCUUUGCUAUCUCACUGUGUCUGAACCAGCAAGCCUGCCCAUGUAUGAAGUACCACAUACUCCCUUCCCCCUCCCUUCUUCCCCUGCCUCCUUUCUUGAUUUGUCUUGAGCACGUGCUCUUCCUGCGUUAGCCUCUCAUGCACUGAGACGCCACGUGUGUGCUGAGCGUCACUUACUAAAUGCUUCUUUUCAAACCAGAGUACUGAUUCUUAAAUAUCAAAAUAGCGUCUGGGUUCUGCUGUGAAACUCAUGUGUUUAUUCAGGUGCAAGCUCUACAACUUUAAUUAUUUGACUGUAAUCAAUACAGAUUUCAAUAACUAAA